rnacentral:rRNA from 1 species
CGAGACGAACGCUGGCGGCGGUGCCUAUACAUGCAAGUCGAGCGAAUGAUAAGGAGCUUGCUCCUUGAUUAGCGGCGGACGGGUGAGUAACACGUGGGUAACCUACCUUAUAGACUGGGAUAACUUCGGGAAACCGGAGCUAAUACCGGAUAAUACUUCGAAACACAUGUUUUGAAGUUGAAAGAUGGUUUCGGCUAUCACUAUAAGAUGGACCCGCGGCGCAUUAGCUAGUUGGUGGGGUAAUGGCUCACCAAGGCAACGAUGCGUAGCCGACCUGAGAGGGUGAUCGGCCACACUGGGACUGAGACACGGCCCAGACUCCUACGGGAGGCAGCAGUAGGGAAUCUUCCACAAUGGACGAAAGUCUGAUGGAGCAACGCCGCGUGAAGUGAAGAAGGAUUUCGGUUCGUAAAACUCUGUUGCAAGGGAAGAACAAGUAGCGUAGUAACUGGCGCUACCUUGACGGUACCUUGUUAGAAAGCCACGGCUAACUACGUGCCAGCAGCAGC